rnacentral:rRNA from 1 species
GAUGAACGCUGGCGGCGUGCCUAAUACAUGCAAGUCGAGCGAACGGACGAGAAGCUUGCUUUUCUGAUGUUAGCGACGGACGGGUGAGUAACACGUGGAUAACCUACCUAUAAGACUGGGAUAACUUCGGGAAACCGGAGCUAAUACCGGAUAAUAUUUUGAACCGCAUGGUUCAAAAGUGAAAGACGGUCUUGCUGUCACUUAUAGAUGGAUCCGCGCUGCAUUAGCUAGUUGGUAAGGUAACGGCUUACCAAGGCAACGAUGCAUAGCCGACCUGAGAGGGUGAUCGCCAACCCUGGAACGAAGACCGGGCCCAACCCCCCGGGGGAGGAAGAGUAAGGGAUCUUUCCGAAAUGGGCAAAAGCCUGACGAAACACCCCCGGGGGAGUAAGAAGGUUUUGGGUAUCUAAAACCUUUUUUAUGAGGGAAAAAAAUAUGUGUAAGUAACUGUGCACCUCUGGCCGGUACUAAAUAAAAAAGCCCCGGCACCUUACGUC